rnacentral:rRNA from 1 species
AGUGGCGAACGGGUGAGUAACACGUGGGCAAUCUGCCCUUCACUCUGGGACAAGCCCUGGAAACGGGGUCUAAUACCGGAUACUGACCCUCGCAGGCAUCUGCGAGGUUCGAAAGCUCCGGCGGUGAAGGAUGAGCCCGCGGCCUAUCAGCUUGUUGGUGAGGUAAUGGCUCACCAAGGCGACGACGGGUAGCCGGCCUGAGAGGGCGACCGGCCACACUGGGACUGAGACACGGCCCAGACUCCUACGGGAGGCAGCAGUGGGGAAUAUUGCACAAUGGGCGAAAGCCUGAUGCAGCGACGCCGCGUGAGGGAUGACGGCCUUCGGGUUGUAAACCUCUUUCAGCAGGGAAGAAGCGAAAGUGACGGUACCUGCAGAAGAAGCGCCGGCUAACUACGUGCCAGCAGCCGCGGUAAUACGUAGGGCGCAAGCGUUGUCCGGAAUUAUUGGGCGUAAAGAGCUCGUAGGCGGCUUGUCACG